GCUCCUACCGAUUGGGUGUGCUGGUGAAGUGUCCGGAUUGGGUUCAGCUGAUGGCAACAUCGGCUGUUUCUAAGAAGGUCAUUAAACCCUCCCACCUAGAGGAAGGAGAAGUCGUAACAAGGUUUCC
rnacentral:rRNA from 1 species